rnacentral:rRNA from 1 species
GACGAACGCUGGCGGCGUGCUUAACACAUGCAAGUCGAACGGACCUUCGGGUUAGUGGCGAACGGGUGAGUAACACGUGGGUGAUCUGCCCUGCACUUUGGGAUAAGCCUGGGAAACUGGGUCUAAUACCGAAUAGGACCACGGCAUUCAUGUGCUGUGGUGGAAAGCUUUUGCGGUGUGGGAUGGGCCCGCGGCCUAUCAGCUUGUUGGUGGGGGAAUGGCCUACCAAGGCGACGACGGGUAGCCGGCCUGAGAGGGUGACCGGCCACACCGGGACUGAGAUACGGCCCAGACUCCUACGGGAGGCAGCAGUGGGGAAUAUUGCACAAUGGGCGCAAGCCUGAUGCAGCGACGCCGCGUGAGGGAUGACGGCCUUCGGGUUGUAAACCUCUUUCGCCAGGGACGAAGCGCAAGUGACGGUACCUGGAGAAGAAGGACCGGCCAACUACGUGCCAGCAGCCGCAGUAA